UACGUAGGGUGCGAGCGUUGUCCGGAAUUACUGGGCGUAAAGAGCUCGUAGGUGGUUUGUCGCGUUGUUCGUGAAAACCGGAGGCUCAACCUCUGGCGUGCGGGCGAUACGGGCAGACUUGAGUACUGCAGGGGAGACUGGAAUUCCUGGUGUAGCGGUGGAAUGCGCAGAUAUCAGGAGGAACACCGGUGGCGAAGGCGGGUCUCUAAACAAUAACUGACGCUGAGGAGCGAAAGCGUGGGGAGCGAACAGG
rnacentral:rRNA from 1 species